rnacentral:lncRNA from 1 species
CUGGCAGCAAGCUAUUAUAUACAUAAUCUUCAACCAACUGAUGCUAAAGUGCAGGCCACCACCUGCACAUGAUCUACAACUAACUAAUGCUAGAUAAUAGGAACUAUAACUACUCCUAAAUGUUCUCCACAUAGUAGGAGACUUAUUCAAACUAGUAACAAGAGGAUAAUAAAACAUAUACUAGAAGUUACUUCAGUUAGCAACCUACAGAUAUCGUUAAUACACCCCCUCAAGGUAGGCAAGGUGCAACAAUGCCUAACUUGGAACGACACCUAGUAAAUGUUGAUUUAGGCAGUGGCUUGGUGAAUGUAUCAGCAAGUUGAUCACAAGCAUGCGUAUGAGUAACAUGGACUCGAUGAUCUUGAACUUGGUCACAGACAUAAGCAAAAUCAACAGCAACAUGUUUCAUACGGGUAUGAAACACUGGGUUGUGAGAUAAAUAAGUCACUCCAACAUUGUCACAGUAGAUUGUUGGCGUCUUUGAAAUGGUGACAUGUAACUCAUGAAGUAAGUUUCGCACCCAAGUGAGCUCUACAGGUGCAUUGGCGACAGAUUUGUACUCUGCCUCGGUGGAUGAGUGAGCUACUGCACGUUGUUUUUUUUAUGACCAACUGACUGGAUUUGGUCCAAAGAAAAGAAUGUAACCUAAUGUAGAGAUUCUGUCAUUCGAAUCGCCAGCCCAGUCCGCAUCAGCAUAUAUAUACAAAUUGGAGUCAGAGUUGCGAAUGAUGCGAAGUCCUGAACUUGUAGUUUCUUUAAGAUACCGUAGCACUCUUUUAACCGCUUUCCAAUGUUCAUCAGUCGGGACAUGUAUAAAUUGAGACAAUUUAUUGACUGCAUAAGAGAUGUCAGGCCGUGUGAGGGACAAAUACUGCAAUUUGCCAAGGGUACGCCGGUAGCGAGUGACAUCAGUAUGUGGCGAACCGUCAGCCACUCGAAGUGGUACAGUGGAACACAUGGGGGUAGAAACACCUUUGCAAUUUUCCAUAUCUAGUUCGAAAAGAAUAUCCAGAAUAUAUUUUGAUUGAGAAAGAAUGAGACCGUCCGGUAUGUGCUUAAUGCCAACACCUAAGAAGUAGUUCAAAUAGCCAAGAUCUUUCAACGAAAAUCUAGCUGCCAACGAACUGCUGAAAAAUUUGAUCACUUUUGGAUGGUUGCCAGUGAUUAUGAUGUCGUGAACAUAGACAAGAACGCAAAUAGAUACAGCCAUAUGCUUCCAUACAAAUAGAGAGGUGUCAGAUUUUGUUCUGACAAACCCCAUUUUCAGCAGAUGUUCAUGCAGAGAAUUAUACCAAGCCCGGGGGGGUGUUUGAGUCCAUAAAUAGCCUUCUUCAACUUGCAAACAUGAGUCGGGAAUAUGGGAUUGAUAAAUCCUUGGGGUUGAGACAUAAACACUUCUUCGUCCAAUUUUCCUUGAAGGAAAGCAUUAUUGACAUCAAGUUGAUGGAUUGGCCAAUUGUGUUGCACAUCGAUAGAUAGAACUAACCUGACCAUCGUUGGUUUGACAACGGGACUGAAUGUCUCAUGAAAAUCCUAACUAGGGCACUGCGUGAACCCUUUUGCAACUAGACGAGCUUUGAAACGGUCUAUAGAGCCAUCUGCUUUUCGCUUGAUCCGAUACAACCAUUUGCAGUCCACCACAUUAUUGGACAGGUCUCACGUUACGAGUUCCCAAGUUUGAUUUUUGAUUAAGGCAUCAUACUAUUCUUGCAUUGCUUACCUCCACUCUUCAUGUUUAUCAACAUGUUUGAAAGUGACAGGUGUAGGAAUCAAAUGGGUUAGAAAAUAGAGUUUUCUCUUUGGCUUGGAGAUAUUAUUCUAAGACCGAGUUAUAAUUCCGUUUAAGGGUGGUGGGGGAAUCGGGGCAGCAUGUAUUGCAGGAGAGGGAUCACUGGAUGCUAGGGGUGGAGGAGUGGUGGCGCUAGGGGCUGGGAGUGAUUGUUGUGUUUGUAUGAAUUUACCUGUAGUUUUGCGUCUCUGGUACGUGAGUAAAGGCUUGUGGGUGGUAGUAUCAUGCAAACAAGAAGAAGCAGGAAGUUGAAAAGAAGGAGCAGGAAAUUGUGUAUUAUCUGAUGUCUCUGCAACUACUGGUACUUGGUCGUGGCUAUUGGAGUGAGCAUCGCUUGGGGAAGAGGUUGUAUGGUGAGAGUUGGACUCUACAGGGAUUGGAAUAGGUGAUGGGAUAAAUAGAGGAGGAGUUGGAAUUGUUGUUGUAGUCUUCUCUUUGGAUUCAACAACUUCCCAACUUAAUUGGGAAGUAUAUUUCCGCAAGUGAAUAAACAUUCUUUUAAAAGGAAAUUCUUUUUCAAAAAAUUGUACAUCACGACUUACAAAUUUUUUGACUGAACUGGGUCAAAGCAGAUAUGAGCAUGGUGAGUCUGGGAGAUACCUAAAUAGACACACGGGAUGGACUGUGGCUUAAGUUUAUUUUUAGUAUAAGGUUUAAGCCAUGGGUAACAAAGACAAUAAAAAAUUCUUAGGGUGGUAUAAUCAGAAAAUCGACCAAAUAAUUUUUGGUAGGGCGACUGAUUAUUCAGGAUGGGAGUGGGAAGUCUGUUAAUAAGGUAGACAGCAUAAUGAUAGGCAAAAGGCCAAAAAUCAGGUGGUAAGGAGGUUUCAUGAAGAAGAGUUUUAGCGGUUUCAAGAAUAUGAAGAUGUCUACGUUCAGCUAUGGCAACACGUUGAGGUGUGUAUGGAGGGGAAACCAAGUGUUCAAUGCCAUUUUUCUGAAGAUAGGGCUGAAGACCGAUGAACUCACCCCCUCCGUCCAUAUAAAUUGAAGAAAUUUUAGUUUUGAAGAAAUUUUCUACUAAAAGAUGAAACUUUGAGAAUAUUGAAGCAACCUCACUUUUGUUUUUGAGCGUAUACAACCAAGUAUAUUUGGUGUAUUGGUCAACAAAAAUGCAGUAAUAUAAUUUUUUAUCAAGUGACAAAAUAGGUGAUUGUCCCCAUAAAUCACUAAAGACAAUCUGAAGAGGAAUAUUACUGGACAAAGUGAGUCGUUGAAAUGGCAAACGAUGUGCUUUAUUAGAAGAACAAGAAUUACAAGGUUCAAACUUGUCGUUUCCAGCAACAAUAGGAAAAGAAAAUUUAUUCAGAAUAAAAUUUACAAUUCUAGAGUGGGGAUGACCCAAUCGACCGUGCUAGAGUUGAUGUGGGGCUUUUGUGGAGGAGAGGUGAAUGGAUGGCUUCUUGAAUUGCAGAUGCAGCCACUCAUACAGUCCAUUAUUGUUCUGGCCUUGUACCAGCGGCUUCAGAGUAUGCAAGUCCUUCACAACAAAAGUAAAAGGGAAGAAUUCAAUAGAUGUGCGGUUAUCUUGACAAAACUUAGCAAAAGAAAUGAGAUUCUUCUUUAUUAAAGGAGCACAAAGUGUGUCAGAAACCUUAAAAGCAGUAUUAGAUGCCUGAAUCAAAGUUGAACCAGUAUGAGUGAUGGGAAUGGUUUUACCGUCACCCAUAGAAAUUUCUUCUGUUCCUGUAUACUCUUUAAGGUUGUGGGGUUCACUAGUGACAUGGUGAGUUGCACCAGAGUCUAGAACCCAUUUCCAGACGAUUGUAGGCCAGAUGCAAAGUUAACCUUAGCUUCAAAAUGAUUGUGCGACUUGGAGCGACAUACAUCUGUUGUGUGACCAAACUUUUGGCACAAUUGACAUUUGACAGAUUGCUUAAAUUGUUUCCUGUUUUGUUGAUUGUUGAAAUCCAAUUGCGGAUUAUUGGUAUUCCAUUGGCGAGACUGAGAUGGUUUUCGUUGCUAAUUGUUGAAGCGAGAACUAUUCCUAUUGAAUUGCGGAGGUGUGUUGCACUUCUGGACAACAACAGUUGUGAUCAUAGAGGAUGUUUUUUCCAGAUCUUGAUGUUUGAGGAAAAGCUCAUGAUCUGUGAGCAUGUGAAAUAAUUCUUCAAAGCUCAAGGAAAAGUCUCGUGCGCGUAUUGCAGCAGAGAUUUCACGGUACUCGGGGACAAGACCACUUAGAAUUUUGACAAUAAGUUCAUCGUCAUUGACAAGUGAACCAGCAACUUUGAAGCAUCAGAGAGAGAAUGAACCUCCUGUAAGUAUUCUGCAAUUGUUUUAGAAGCCUUCUUGGUAUUUUGCAAUUGAUCUCGCAAGCUAAAGAUGCGAGUAUAACUUUUGUUGGCAUAGGCUGUGUGAGGGAGUUCCCACGCUUUGUUAGCAGAUGUUGCUGCGGCAAUAGUUGGAGCAAUGGUAGGAUCGACCGAUACCAUCAUUGCUUGUUGGAUCAAUUGAUCUUGAGAGAACCAAAUAUGAUAAUUGGGAUUUGGUACAGUAAGAUUAUUUUGGAUAAUCGUAGGGGAUGGAGCUGUUGUGGUUCCAUCAAGAUGUCCCAUAAGUUGAUGCCCGUUUAGUAGCAUCACAAGUUGUGCUUUCCAAGUUGAAAAGUUGAGGUUACCUUGUAACUUAAGAGGUAACUGAGCAACAGGGUUAAAUUGCACCACAUGAGUGGUGGCAGAAACUAUAGGACUGUUGGCAGCAGUAGCAUCAGUAACUGGAGCCACAUAUGAGCAAGCUUUAAAAGAAAUAGAUGGAUCUAACUCGGUGGAUCUUAUAAUGCUCUGAUACCAUAUAAAGAUUAAGAUGAGAAGGUCAAAAGAUAAUUUUAUUAAGUAUGGCAGCAAGCUAUUAUAUACAUAAUCUUCAACCAACUGAUGCUAAAGUGCAGGUCACCACCUGCACAUGAUCUACAACUAACUAAUGCUAGAUAAUAGGAACUAUAACUACUCCUAAAUGUGCUCCACAUAGUAGGAGACUUAUUCAAACUAGUAACAAGAGGUAAAUAAAACAUAUACUAGAAGUUACUGCAGUUAGCAACC